UGAGGAAUAUUGGUCAAUGGGCGAGAGCCUGAACCAGCCAAGUAGCGUGCAGGACGACGGCCCUAUGGGUUGUAAACUGCUUUUAUAAGGGAAUAAAGUGGGUCACGUGUGACUUUUUGCAUGUACCUUAUGAAUAAGGACCGGCUAAUUCCGUGCCAGCAGCCGCGGUAAUACGGAAGGUCCGGGCGUUAUCCGGAUUUAUUGGGUUUAAAGGGAGCGUAGGCCGGAGAUUAAGCGUGUUGUGAAAUGUAGUGGCUCAACCUCUGCACUGCAGCGCGAACUGGUCUUCUUGAGUACGCAC
rnacentral:rRNA from 1 species